ACGAACGCUGGCGGCGUGCUUAACACAUGCAAGUCGAGCGAUGAAGUUUCUUCGGAAAUGGAUUAGCGGCGAACGGGUGAGGAACACGUGAAGAAUCUGCCCUCCACUUUGGGAUAACACCGGGAAACCGGUGCUAAUACCGAAUAUUGAAACAUAAGUGGCAUCACUGAGUUUUGAAAGAAUUUCGGUGGAGGAUGACUUCGCGGCCUAUCAGCUAGUUGGUGAGGUAAUGGCUCACCAAGGCAACGACGGGUAGCCGGCCUGAGAGGGCGACCGGCCACACUGGGACUGAGACACGGCCCAGACUCCUACGGGAGGCAGCAGUGGGGAAUAUUGGGCAAUGGAGGAAACUCUGACCCAGCGACGCCGCGUGCGGGAUGAAGGCCUUCGGGUUGUAAACCGCUUUCAGUAGGGAAGAAGCGAAAGUGACGGUACCUACAAAAGAAGCACCGGCUAACUAUGUGCCGGCAGCCGCGGUAAUACAUAGGGUGCAAGCGUUGUCCGGAAUUAUUGGGCGUAAAGAGCUCGUAGGUCGUUUGUUACGUCGGAUGUGAAAACCUGAGGCUCAACCUCAGGCCUGCAUUCGAUACGGGCAAACUAGAGUUUGGUAGGGGAGACUGGAAUUCCUGGUGUAGCGGUGGAAUGCGCAGAUAUCAGGAGGAACACCAAUGGCGAAGGCAGGUCUCUGGGCCAAUACUGACACUGAGGAGCGAAAGUCUGGGGAGCGAACAGGAUUAGAUACCCUGGUAGUCCAGACCGUAAACGGUGGGCACUAGUUGUGGGAACCUUCCACGGUUUCUGCGACGCAGCUAACGCAUUAAGUGCCCCGCCUGGGGAGUACGAUCGCAAGAUUAAAACUUAAAUGAAUUGACGG
rnacentral:rRNA from 1 species